CCAUAACUCACUGGGAAAUUCCAUAGCGGUGUCCGCAUAGCCCCUCACAGCCUCCUCGUGGUUUGGCCAAUAGGUCCGUCUAUUGGCCAUUAAUUGGAAACGAAGCUCUUUUGUGGAUCUCAUGUGCACUUAUCCGGUUCAGGUUAUCCAAGUAGCUGUCGUCCUCUUCUGCUUUUCAUUUGGACUCAGACUCAGGAACCAAGUAUUCUCUGACAUUUGCUUGGGAUCGUCUUCCUGAAAAGCCAAAUGGGACAAGGAAAUGGGUCAGGGUUGCUGGGACGAUCGAUGCAGCCGCACAUGGAAAUAAUGGAAGAAAAUUUAUUAGAGGCUGCAAAAGAGGUUUUGUGGCCAUCAGUGGCUUUUUUUCAUCAGUAGCUGGACAGGAAAUAGGACAGAGCACAAAGGGAAAGACAUGAAGUGAAUGGAAUCGCAUCGAACCCUGGACAGCUGCAUCGACCGCAGGAUCGCAGUCUCCACACAUGGUGCUUCCACUCCACCACCAAGCCACACGUCGCCUCCACUAUCUUUACUUUUGAUGCAUUUUUAAUAAAGUCUUUUAGGCUGAGCGAUUUGUUCUUUAAAAGAAAUUGAUGACUUAAAGGAAAACGGAAUAAAUGACCAAAUCUUC